UUUUUAAUUGAAGGCUAGAAUGAAUGGUUGGACAAGAAAUAACCUGUCUCAAAUUUAAUAUAUUGAAUUUAACUUUUAAGUGAAAAGGCUUAAAUAAUCUGAAGGGACGAUAAGACCCUAUAAAACUUUAUAUUUAAAAGGAGUAAGCAAAUUUUAUUUAGAAGUUAUUGCUUGAAAAUAUUUUGUUGGGGCGACAAGAAUAGGGAGGUAAAUAACUGUUUUUUUUUUUUGACAAUAAUGUUUGGAUUAGUGAUCCUGAAAGGAUAAUAAGAUUAAGUUACUUUAGGGAUAACAGCGUAAUUUUCUUUAAGAGUUCUAAUCGACAAGAGAGUUUGCGACCUCGAUGUUGAAUUAAAGGUUCUUUAUGGAGAAGCAGC
rnacentral:rRNA from 1 species